AUGUGUGCGUGCGCUUGCCUGGGUCGUGUUAUUUGGACGACCACUCUUAAACUCUGCCCGCAAACCAGUCCACUCACUUCUGAUCCUGAGUCGACUCCCUGGUCCAGUUCAAGAUGCUAAACAGCUUGGGUCCCAGCAAGAGCACCUUCUUCCAUAUCAACCGGUCUGUGCUCUAAGAUCAGCAGAUAUGGCCUCCCUGGUGGAUCCUCUUUAGUAUGAGGAGGAAAGCAACCCAGCCUGGUGAUACCAGAAUAAAUGAUGCAAGGAGGGAGCUGCAGCCCAAGAUAGCAACUCAGUGAUACGGACACAGAGAUGGUGACUAGCUCAAAGCUUCACAGCAGAGGAGGAAAUGAACCUGGGAUUCCUGAGGCCAAAACUGAUACUUGAUCUAGGUUUACUUCUACACCAACUCCCAAAGUACA